rnacentral:rRNA from 1 species
CCUACGGGGGGCAGCAGUGGGGAAUAUUGCACAAUGGGCGCAAGCCUGAUGCAGCCAUGCCGCGUGUGUGAAGAAGGCCUUCGGGUUGUAAAGCACUUUCAGCGGGGAGGAAGGCGUUAAGGUUAAUAACCUUGGCGAUUGACGUUACCCGCAGAAGAAGCACCGGCUAACUCCGUGCCAGCAGCCGCGGUAAUACGGAGGGUGCAAGCGUUAAUCGGAAUUACUGGGCGUACAGCGCACGCAGGCGGUCUGUCAAGUCGGAUGUGAAAUCCCCGGGCUCAACCUGGGAACUGCAUUCGAAACUGGCAGGCUAGAGUCUUGUAGAGGGGGGUAGAAUUCCAGGUGUAGCGGUGAAAUGCGUAGAGAUCUGGAGGAAUACCGGUGGCGAAGGCGGCCCCCUGGACAAAGACUGACGCUCAGGUGCGAAAGCGUGGGGAGCAAACAGGAUUAGAUACCCCGGUAGUC